rnacentral:rRNA from 1 species
UACAUAGGCCCCAAGCGUUAUCCGGAAUUACUGGGCGUAAAGCGUUCGUAGGCGGAGAAACAAGUCAGAUGUGAAAGGUCUGGGCUCAACCCAGUACUUGCAUCCGAAACUGUUUCCCUGGAAUUGGGGAGAGGUAAGCAGAACUGUAUGAGUAGGGGUGCAAUCCGUUGAUACAUACAAGAAUACCAAAAGCGAAGGCAGCUUACUGGAACCAUAUUGACGCUGAGGAACGAAAGCGUGGGGAGCGAAAAGG